rnacentral:rRNA from 1 species
GCAGACGGGUGAGUAACGCGUGGGAAUCUACCUUUUGCUACGGAAUAACGCAGGGAAACUUGUGCUAAUACCGUAUGUGUCCUUCGGGAGAAAGAUUUAUCGGCAAGAGAUGAGCCCGCGUUGGAUUAGCUAGUUGGUGGGGUAAAGGCCUACCAAGGCGACGAUCCAUAGCUGGUCUGAGAGGAUGAUCAGCCACAUUGGGACUGAGACACGGCCCAAACUCCUACGGGAGGCAGCAGUGGGGAAUAUUGGACAAUGGGCGCAAGCCUGAUCCAGCCAUGCCGCGUGAGUGAUGAAGGCCCUAGGGUUGUAAAGCUCUUUCACCGGAGAAGAUAAUGACGGUAUCCGGAGAAGAAGCCCCGGCUAACUUCGUGCCAGCAGCCGCGGUAAUACGAAGGGGGCUAGCGUUGUUCGGAAUUACUGGGCGUAAAGCGCACGUAGGCGGAUCGAUCAGUCAGGGGUGAAAUCCCAGGGCUCAACCCUGGAACUGCCUUUGAUACUGUCGAUCUGGAGUAUGGAAGAGGUGAGUGGAAUUCCGAGUGUAGAGGUGAAAUUCGUAGAUAUUCGGAGGAACACCAGUGGCGAAGGCGGCUCACUGGUC